CAGCUGUUUGCAAUACAUCGCAGUAGUGCCAAGCUUCUGGCUGUGAAACAUCCAGCAGGCUGUAACUUAGUGGCACAAAAGGAACUAAAGAGCCUGCAAGAGCAUGGGGAGGAUGCAGCAGCAGUGUUUUCAGGUCAGUGCCUGGAAGAAGCAGAUUCCUGUGUGAUAGAGGUUACCAGUCUUUCAGAAUUACAAGAGGAAGCCCUCCACGUGAGUUUAAAAAAUAUUGAUUCUCAGAAAUUCACAACCCCAAGUGCUGGAUGGACCUGGUUCUCCUCGGUGGUGCCAAGCAACAGGGCAAGAAGCAACAGGCAGAAACUGAUGCCCAGGAAGUUCCAUCUGAAAAUAAGGAAGAACUUCUCUACUGUGUGUGUGACCUUGCACUGGAACAGAUUGCUCAGAGAGGGUGUGGAGUCUCCCUGACUGGAGAUAUUCAAGACCCAUCUGGAUGCAAACCUGCUGGAGCAGGGAGGUUGGACCAGAUGACCCACUGUGGUCCCUUCCAACCUGCCCUGUCCUGUGAUUCUGUGAAAUGAAAACUUUUUGAAAUAUUUACAAAAUAAACUAUGCUUUAGUAUA